AAGCAGUUUGGGCGCUUGUGUCCCUCCUAUUCACACUUUUAUACUACUAGUGGUUUAAAGUUAAUUGAAUUUUGCCUUGACAACCCUUGAAAUAUUUCACAUGAAAGUCAUAGAUCCUUAAAUAGAAUGCUUCAGUCUGUCAGACAGAGGCUUUUUCUUACUCUUCUUGAUUUUUAAUUACAUGCAUGAAAAUCAGAUAUUGUGGUUUAACUUUGAUCUAGAAUUUAGACAACUAGUGUACUUGCACUGUUGCUGGAAAAACAUAUGCUUCAAUCCCAUCUAACCCUCUCAGUAUGACUAUCAGUAUGUGAAAUAGCUUAGAUUUUGAUUCUUCUCAUUUCCUCAGACACCACACCUACAAUAAGAAUCUUGGAAUAGAAAUUCUUCAACUCACCUCUGAGAUGACCUUUUACAGAAAAAAACCAGCAUACUGUGCCAGCAAUUGCAUUCAAAACUUCAUGAAAGCAACACUACUUCAUGGGAAAGCAAGGUUCCAUUUGAGGGAUUUGUAUACUGUUAAGGAAUCAUUACUUCAUUGAAUGAAGAUUAAGAUCUUCUUAAACAUGUAAAGAAUGGGGAACCAACUUUUUUCACAACUCCACAUUCUUCCAGAAGUAGCUGAGGAGUCUUGUUCGCUUUGCAUGACAACAGCAGACACCAAGUAUGGAAGAAACUCACUACCUGUAGGAACCAAGGAAAGAAUUUUUGAGGAAUAGUUGCCUUGAAGCUGAAGAAAGCAUUGUAGCAUCAUAACCAUCUAGCCCAUACAUGAAUGAACUCAUGCUCUUCCUGUUUUCACCCACUGACUCAACAGCUUCAGUAAUAAAACUGAAUGAAGAACUUGACAGGACUGAAAGGUUGUUAGAGCAUGUUAGCAACUGUAAUAUCAGAAAGCUCUCAGUACUGCUUUGGUCAAGGAAGCAAUGUAAAAAAUGGAAAUGCAAGGAUUGCAACCAAGACAUGGAAUUGAGUAAGGGUUUUCCCUAAAUGACUUUAGAAACCAACUUCUGAAAGAUAUCCCAUGGCUAUUCCAGGAAUUGCAAUUUCUCUUCUUUCUUGGAUCCCACUGUGAGACUCUGGGGAAAGACUUUGGGGAACAACCCUCCUUCUCAUGUCAAUUGUGCCUCACUUCUACCACUGAAACUACAAUUCAC
rnacentral:lncRNA from 1 species